rnacentral:tRNA from 1 species
AGGGGAAUAGCUCAGUGGUUGAGCUCAUGCUUACUGUGGAUGAGGUCCUGAGUUCAAUCCCCAGUACCUCCA